ACAACAGGGUAAUAGAAGAGGAAGUAGAGGAGGAAUUACAGGCAACAGAAGUAAUCAGCGUAAUGAGGCUAGUUCUAAUCAAGACUCAAGAGGAGUCAUUUGUUAUUAUUGCCAUGAGCCUGGCCAUACAAAAUAUAAUUGUCCGCAACUUCAGAGGAAAAAUCAGCGAUCACAUAUAGCAAAUAUAGCAGCAGAGAAUUCUACAGUAUCUUCCUCUGAGAAAACUGUUUUGGUAUCUGCAGAGGAUUUUGCACAAUUUUCCCAGUAUCAGGCAUCUCUAAAGCCUACCAGUUCCCCUAUCACUGCGAUCGCUGAGUCAGGUAAAUCCACUACAUGCCUUGUGUCUUCCUCAUCCAAAUGGGUUAUUGAUUCUGGUGCAACAGAUCACAUGACAGGUAAUUCUAGUCUUCUAUUUGCUUUUCAAUCUAAUCUCACUUCCUCUACUGUUACUUUAGCUGAUGGUUCUACUUCUUGUGUCAUGGGUUCUGGAACUGCGAAUCCGACUUCGUCAAUUUCUUUGUCAUCUGUUUUGUGUCUACCAAAAUUCUCUUUUAAUCUACUUUCUGUUAGUAAACUUACUCGUACCUUAAAUUGUUCUGUUUCCUCUUUUCCUGAACAGUGUUUGUUUCAGGAUCUUACGACGAA
rnacentral:misc_RNA from 1 species